rnacentral:rRNA from 1 species
AUGGACGCGGCUCACUGCGAGGGAGGUCCUGGACGUGCUCGGAACCGCGGGGAGGCAUCGGUGGUGGAGAUCGACGGCGAUGGCGCCGUGGCCGUGGCGGGGAAGACGACUGGAUGGCGAGGUUCUGGAGGGCUUCAGCUCGAACUGGAGGUUGUAGGCGAUGCAGAUGUUGGCGAUGAAGCUCCUAGUCAUCUUCCCGAGCGCCGAGGAGCAUGGUGGCCAUGA